UACGGGGGGAGCAAGCGUUGUUCGGAUUUACUGGGCGUAAAGGGCGCGUAGGCGGUCAGCACAAGUCAGUUGUGAAAUCUCCGGGCUUAACUCGGAAAGGUCAACUGAUACUGUGCGACUAGAGUGCAGAAGGGGCAACUGGAAUUCUCGGUGUAGCGGUGAAAUGCGUAGAUAUCGAGAGGAACACCUGCGGCGAAGGCGGGUUGCUGGGCUGACACUGACGCUGAUGCGCGAAAGCCCAGGGGGAGCGAAACGGG
rnacentral:rRNA from 1 species